AUGUGAAAACUACUUCUACUGCAGUGAAGUAAACGCUUUCUGAAUGUUAGUAGUCAAAACUAUUUGCACUCUGCUCUAUGAACCUCGGGUAAUAGUUUUUACUGUUAGCCGACAUGCCAUUCAAUCAGGUAGUGGCCAGGGGUCCGGUAACCCGACCUCUAGACCCUGAGUCUAGAUGUCCGGUUACUUGUCCUCCAGACAACCCGUGCAUGGCAGGCUAGAGGUCUAGUAAUCCUUAUAGAUACUGAGACCUUUCUUGUAUUACAAAGAGAAUAAAAUCAUGAUAAAGUAAAUAUCAAAUUACAUUCUAUUUUAUUUAAAGUUAGGCCAGAAGUUAAUAUUAUAUGUAGUAGGGACCUAUGGUGGCAUAAACAACGCCCGGACCGAGAAAGCAUGCACUAGAAAGACGCCACCAUAGGAAAAUCCAGUAGCGAUGGUGAUCCGGAAACAUACAGACGUCUACACACAAUGGUAAACAAACAACAGGUAAACAGGUCAUCUAAACGCAAAAACCGGUCAUGCGGAUAGACAUCAAAAUGUUGAAUUGAACUGGUAUUUGAGACUAUUAUUUCAUAAAACUGGUUGAUAAAUCGAAGUGGAAGUCUUUAGGAAUGGCGAGUAAACAGUUGUGUCUCUUUGGAGAAACGAUGAUACAAUAUCUACGUCUACAUUCAAAUGAUGCUAUUCAAGGUAACACUAUACUCAAAGAAGCUGACAUAUAGCAGUGUGAGAAAGGAAGUCUACUUUUGCACGACAGGAAAAAUGAUAUUUGUAUGUAUAUUUUAUCGGAAGCAGCUGCAAAACCACUGUCAGGAAACUCUUUGAAAUUAUGGUGUGGUAGCCUAUUUUACUGUUUUUGGUCCGCCUUGGUGGGACGAUAUUAAGGUAGAGUUUUAUAUGAAAAUCUACGAUAAAGUCUGAUGAUCUCGAAUGUGGAAAAAAAUAGACUUGAUUAAGAAGUUUCCGCUAAGAAAUAAAGCCUCUGCGUUGGAUCAGCUGCAUUUUUUGCCGUCUUCUGAAGAUCUUAUCUUUCAGGAAUAAAUUCGCUGGACCAGCUACUCUGUCUAACUGUGACCUCUAUUUCUCUGUCUCUCCUUCCGAUGCGACUCAAACUCCGAUGCUCUCGAUCUGAAGUCGAAGGCCCUACGACUGAGCUGUCAUGGUUAACGGAUAUAAUUUUGUGUAAUAGUAAAGUGAUGUUAAAAUAAGUGUUCAUCACGUUGAAUCGACAACGGCCGCAUACUAACGUUUUCUAAAAAGCUAAGCUUGUUUAAAUUAAAAUUCGUUUACAAUUCAUGUGCGAAGCCACUACUGCAGACGACAAUUCAUAUUGGAAGACGAAUACACUGCAUAUCACUUUGAGCUGAUACCAACGCGAAGGUAACCACAGGGACAGUUUACUGAGGUAUUGACACACUAAAUAGCUGUAGGCUCUUCUUUUAUUUAUAUGAAACAGAGGAACUUCCAGUGGCUGCAGCGCACACUGAGUAAAGCACACACCGUGGACCAUUUGAAAAGACUGUGACUUAGUUACCUUAUCUUGAGGAAUGUUGUCAGUACAGUAUACAAAUCGAAAGAAUGACUUAUUUUCCAUGACAAGUUAAGAUUUUUUACGAAGAAAACGCUACCAACAUUUCAGGGAUAGAUCUGUUAAAUAAUUUCAACCAAAACAAUACAUCAAAAGAAAGGAAUGUAUUUCUACAGAGCCAAAACAGCGAUCUAUUUGAAUAUGUUAUUUUCUACCAUUUUUUUUCGCGCCAUUUUCUUAUUUGUUAAUGUCUGUAUAUACCCACAGAGUCGCGAGUCGGCACGUUUGAAACAUAGUUUUACAAUGUAGAAUUUCAUUGAACCUUUUUCUUUAAAAAAAAAAAAAAAAAAAAAAAAAAAAAAAAAAAAAAAAAAAAAAAAUGAAGGAAA